rnacentral:lncRNA from 1 species
GUGGCUGGAGCGCCACAUCGCAUUCUGUAAGUGAUUCCUUUUUUUUUUGUUACAAAUACAUUUCUACUGCUUUCGACCACAUUUAACAUGCAAAGAUUUUACUGCUUUAUUUAGCAUUCAACUUAGAUGGAUACUCUCGCAUAAUACGAAUGCCAGAGAAACAAGUGAUACGAAUCUUAUUGAAGCUUUUACAUCUUCUCUCCAACGAAUACAAAGAACCCCUCGCCACCGCCAUACACCAAAAACAACAAACUCUGCCAGUCAAGCAGUUGACAAGAACCGGAAAUGGGCCAACAGAAACAACAACAAAAACAACAUCUAGAAUAGUAUCCAAAAAAGUAGUUGAAAUAUUUGCCAUAUCGUAAGGCAUUUUAUCGGUUACUAGUACGUAUACAUAUGUAUGUGUAUGUGCUUGUCUCUGAAUAAUAAUGAGAGAUAUGGGAAUGGAGGGGUUAUGUCAUCUCUCCAUCCACCUUCCCCUCCCAUCUCUCCUUAUCGUCUCGUUCUGCUAUUCUGCUGUACGCUGCUGUCAUGCACCAGCAGCAGCAGCAGCAACAGCGACAAAACAAAUGUUUAAUUCUAGUAUUUAACAAUUGUAUAACGCUGUAAAUUUCACGCGAUUUACAAAUGCAACAACCACACAAUGGUACAUAAUGGCAAUAACAAAAUAUAAAAAAAGAUGUUGACAAAUGUCCGGAGCUUAAUUAAAGCGACAGCCGUUGUUUCCCCACUGCCACCCCCACAAAAACA